GACGAACGCUGGCGGCGCGCCUAACACAUGCUAGUCGAACGGUGAAGAGGAGCUUGCUCCUCGGAACAGUGGCGGACGGGUGAGUAACACGUGAGCAACCUGGCUCUAAGAGGGGGACAACAGUUGGAAACGACUGCUAAUACCGCAUGACGUAUCGGGAUGGCAUCUUCCUGAUACCAAAGAUUUUAUCGCUUAGAGAUGGGCUCGCGUCUGCUUAGAUAGUUGGCGGGGUAACGGCCCACCAAGUCGACGAGCAGUAGCCGGACUGAGAGGUUGAACGGCCACAGUGGGACUGAGACACGACCCAGACUCCUACGGGAGGCAGCAGUGGGGGAUAUUGGACAAUGGGAGCAACCCUGAGCCAGCGACGCCGCGUGAGGGAAGAAGGUUUUCGGAUUGGAAGCCUCUGUUGACGGAGAAAAAAAUGAUGGUAGCCGGUUAGAAAGCCACGGCUAACUACGUG
rnacentral:rRNA from 1 species